GUGCCAGCAGCCGCGGUAAUACGUAGGGGGCAAGCGUUGUCCGGAAUUAUUGGGCGUAAAGCGCGCGCAGGCGGUCCUUUAAGUCUGAUGUGAAAGCCCACGGCUUAACCGUGGAGGGCCAUUGGAAACUGGAGGACUUGAGUACAGAAGAGGAGAGUGGAAUUCCACGUGUAGCGGUGAAAUGCGUAGAGAUGUGGAGGAACACCAGUGGCGAAGGCGACUCUCUGGUCUGUAACUGACGCUGAGGUGCGAAAGCGUGGGUAGCGAACAGGAUUAGAUACCCUGGUAGUCCACGCCGUAAACGAUGAGUGCUAGGUGUUAGGGGGUUUCCGCCCCUUAGUGCUGAAGUUAACGCAUUAAGCACUCCGCCUGGGGAGUACGGCCGCAAGGCUGAAACUCAAAAGAAUUGACGGGGACCCGCACAAGCGGUGGAGCAUGUGGUUUAAUUCGAAGCAACGCGAAGAACCUUACCAGGUCUUGACAUCCUCUGACACCCCUAGAGAUAGGGCAUUCCCUUCGGGGACAGAGUGACAGGUGGUGCAUGGUUGUCGUCAGCUCGUGUCGUGAGAUGUUGGGUUAAGUCCCGCAACGAGCGCAACCCU
rnacentral:rRNA from 1 species